GAUGAACGCUGGCGGCGUGCCUAACACAUGCAAGUCGAGCGAUCUUCUUCGGAAGGGAGCGGCGGACGGGUGAGUAACGCGUGGGUAACCUGCCCUGUACACACGGAUAACAUACCGAAAGGUAUGCUAAUACGGGAUAACAUAAGAAAGUCGCAUGGCUUUCUUAUCAAAGCUUUUGCGGUACAGGAUGGACCCGCGUCUGAUUAGCUAGUUGGUAAGGUAACGGCUUACCAAGGCGACGAUCAGUAGCCGACCUGAGAGGGUGAUCGGCCACAUUGGAACUGAGACACGGUCCAAACUCCUACGGGAGGCAGCAGUGGGGAAUAUUGCACAAUGGGCGAAAGCCUGAUGCAGCAACGCCGCGUGAGCGAUGAAGGCCUUCGGGUCGUAAAGCUCUGUCCUCAAGGAAGAUAAUGACGGUACUUGAGGAGGAAGCCCCGGCUAACUACGUGCCAGCAGCCGCGGUAAUACGUAGGGGGCUAGCGUUAUCCGGAAUUACUGGGCGUAAAGGGUGCGUAGGCGGUCUUUCAAGUCAGAAGUGAAAGGCUACGGCUCAACCGUAGUAAGCUUUUGAAACUGUAAGACUUGAGUGCAGGAGAGGAGAGUGGAAUUCCUAGUGUAGCGGUGAAAUGCGUAGAUAUUAGGAGGAACACCAGUUGCGAAGGCGGCUCUCUGGACU
rnacentral:rRNA from 1 species